UACGUAAGGGGCAAGCGUUGUCCGGAAUCAUUGGGCGUAAAGCGCGUGUAGGCGGCUCGAUAAGUCUGCUGUGAAAGUCCAGGGCUCAACCCUGGAAUGCCGGUGGAAACUGUCGAGCUAGAGUCCGGAAGAGGCGAGUGGAAUUCCUGGUGUAGCGGUGAAAUGCGCAGAUAUCAGGAGGAACACCAAUGGCGAAGGCAGCUCGCUGGGACGGUACUGACGCUGAGACGCGAAAGCGUGGGGAGCAAACAGG
rnacentral:rRNA from 1 species